CCAUAAUCUCAGUAAAUUAGAAUAUUACAUGCAAUCAAUAAAACAAGGAGUGUACAUAGAACAAUAUUGGACCUCUGAAAAGUAUAAGCAUGCAUAUGGACUCAGUACUUGGUUUGGGCCACUUUUGCAGCAAUUACUGCCUCAAUGCGGCGUGGCAUGGAUGCUAUCAGCCUGUGGCACUGCUGAGGUGUUAUGGAAGACCAGGAUGCUUCAAUAGCGGCCUUCAGCUCUUCUGCAUUGUUCAGUCUCAUGUGUCUCAUCUUUCUCUUGGCGAUGCCCCAAAGAUUCUCUAUGGGGUUCAGGUCAGGCGAGUUUGCUGGCCAAUCAAGCACAGUAAUCCCACGGUCAUUGAACCAGGCUUUGGUGCUUUUGGCAGUGUGGGCAAGUGCCAAGUCCUGCUGGAAAAUGAAAUCAGCAUCCCCAUAAAGCUCGCCUGUGGAAGGAAGCAUGAAGUGCUCCAACAUCUCCUGGUAGACGGCUGCGUUGACCCUGGACUUAAUGAAGCACAGUGGACCAACACCAGCAGAUGACAUGGCUCCCCA